rnacentral:miRNA from 1 species
GCACGAGUGAGUUUUUCAAAGACCUCAAAAUAGCACGAGUCCGAAGGACGAGUGCGAUUUGAGGUCUUUGAAAAACUCACGAGUGC